GAACAAACACCAGCUCUUGCCAAUCUCAGUCUCCCGAGCUAUAGAGGAAAAGAGCCAAAAAAGUUUAUCCUGGCUCAGCCACCUCCUGGCUGUGUAGCUACAGGCAAGUUAUUUAACUUUGCUGAACAUUGGUUUUUCCAUCUGGAAAAAGUGGACAGGAUAAGCUGCCACUGGAGGCUACCUUAAGGGUGAAUGAGUGAAAUGGGGUUGAGUGCUUAAUGAACUAUUAAAACAUGACACAGAUGGGUGAGGUGACAUCUGACUGCUCUUCAUAGCAGUUCUUGCAUGGUGAGCAGAUGCAGUGUGCUCGUUCAUUCACUUGUUCAUCAAACACCAACAGUACUCCCUUGUGCCAGGCCUUGUGCUGGGCACUGUAGGGGCUAUGGGGGGAGUAAGACACAGUCAUGCUCUCGAGGAACUCGCUGUCCAGCAGAGUGAUAGGACAUGAAUACGUACUUCUAGCAAAGGCUGAAAAUCACUAGGCAGGUGGCCAGAUGAGGUCAGAGCUCUGGCCCUAGUGCCCUGUAGUGAGUUUCGAGGGAGUAGGAAAUGAAGACAAAACAGCAAGAGCACAGGUCCAGCACAGGAGGGUGAAGGAUGUGGAAAGAGGAGCAGAGCAUGAUAAAGCUACUAAAGUAGGGGUCAAGUCAUGGGGUCCGGGUGAGAGGUCACUGGGGAGCCCUGGACAGGCUCUGAACGGGGGACAGACUAGACUGACAAAGCAGCUCUUUCUGGAGACCUCCCAUGGAGGGUCCCCUCUUCUACCCAUAGAAGAGGAGGUGUCACUCACUUUACGAUACACAUGGGGAAAGGAAGUUGGAGAGGGGAAGGCACUUGUCUAAGGUCACUCAAUGGUCAUGCCAGUGGAAAGCACCCAAAGCCUGGUCCAGGUCCUGCCACCUCCUGCCUGGGCUCCAUCUUCUCGGCUCAGUUCAAGCCUUUAUUAUCAGAGUCCCUCUGUGUGCCAGGCUCUGUGCUGAAUGUCCGUGUCGGCCACGAAUUGCACUAACAGUGCUUACUGCCACUUUCUCUCCGACUUUACCUCCAAAGACCCAGCUGGGCCUAACCCUCACACACAGCCAGAGGAAUCCUUCCCAAACACACUGUUAAUCACAUCGCUCUUCCGUUUAAAACUGGCUUACUAAAGCCAACACAGGAUAAAAUCCACAAUCAGUCCCAAACCCAUCUUUCUCUGCCCUCUCUAGACCACACUGAGUACCAAGGCCUGCACAUUUCGCAGCCAGCCCUCCUGCUCUCCCCCUUGCCCUCCAGUCACACUGGCCCUCAACCCCCAACACUGGGGCCACCUCUGAGCCCUGCAUCAAACACCAGCACCCCCUUCGCCGAGCUCAUUCUUCUUCAUUCCUCAGAGCUCAGCUCAAGCAUCACCUUCCUUCCCUGCGACAGGGUCAGGUCCUUUCCUGUGCGCUCCGCAGCACCCUGCCUGUCCCUCGGAGUCCUCGCGAGAGGAACUAGGUAACUGUGAUCCCCGUGCACAGCACGGUGUCUGCCUAGGACACAGUGAGCGCUUCAACGCGCUGAACUAACCGAAUGAAGGAGAACACCAACUCAGCUGUCACCCCGCCCCCAAGUGUCAGUGGCUAGAAGAUCUUCCCCCGUUCUCUGGCAGCACCGGUGGGUUUUGUCACUGAGGCUGCCGUUGCUGUCUAUUGACAGGCGUCCCCCUCAGGAGACCGGGAGCUCCUCCAGCGCAGGGCCCCGCUCAGCACCCCUGGUCCCGGGGGACCCCACGGAGGCCGCCGCGCUCAGUGAAACUUUGCCGCUCGCAGCAGCGCCCGGAGACCCGCGUGGACCCUCUCCCUGCGGGGACCGGUCAGGGCGCGCCGCCCCUAGCCCGCGGCAGCCGCCCCGACCUGGACCAAGGUCGGCCAAGUCCUCGCCGCCUGCCCAGCGGCCCUUGGACCCACAGGCCUGGACCAGAGUGCGCGGAAGCCUCCGAGCCACGGCCAGGUCACAGAAUGCGCGGCGGGACAGCCCGGCCCGUCAAGCAGCGAAGCCGAAACUAGAAGUCUCAGGUCUGGCUUGGUCACUGUUUGCUGGGGGACUCCGACGAGCAACUACCCUUCGGGGACUCAGUUUCCCCCGGGCCAAGUGAAACGGACACCAGCGGCUCCCGCGAGAACUCGCGCGGGAACAGGAGCCGCGAGCUCCGCACAGCGCCUGGCACCUAGACCCAGUCUACUAACGGGCUGGAAGGCCGCGCUCCCGUCUCCACGCCGCCCUAGAACCUUUCUCACCUCAGUCUCGGGCUCCGGGACUCUCUCACCUCACUGCCCCUCCUUCCACC